rnacentral:rRNA from 1 species
UACACACCGCCCGUCAAGUCAACCGAGUCGAGUGCACCCGAAGUCGCUGUACCAACCCGCAAGGGAAGAAAGCGCCGAAGGUGUGCUUGGUGAGAGGGACUAAGUCGUAAACAAGGUACC